UCCGUUGUGGACAAGGUGAAUUGA
rnacentral:siRNA from 1 species